ensembl:rRNA 5S_rRNA 5S ribosomal RNA
GCUUACGGCCAUACCACCCUGAGAGCGCCCGAUCUCGGAAGCUAAGCAGGGUCGGGCCUGGUUAGUACUUAGAUGGGAGACUGCCUGGGAAUACCACAUGCUGUAAGCU